rnacentral:rRNA from 1 species
ACGUAGGGAGCAAGCGUUGUCCGGAAUUACUGGGUGUAAAGGGAGCGUAGGCGGGACGGUAAGUCAGAUGUGAAAUUUAUGGGCUCAACCCAUAACCUGCAUUUGAAACUGCUGUUCUUGAGUGAAGUAGAGGUUGGCGGAAUUCCUAGUGUAGCGGUGAAAUGCGUAGAUAUUAGGAGGAACAUCAGUGGCGAAGGCGGCCAACUGGGCUUUUACUGACGCUGAGGCUCGAAAGCGUGGGUAGCAAACAG